rnacentral:rRNA from 1 species
AUUGGACGCUGGCGGCAUGCCUUACACAUGCAAGUCGAACGGCAGCACGGGUGCUUGCACCUGGUGGCGAGUGGCGAACGGGUGAGUAAUACAUCGGAACAUGUCCUGUAGUGGGGGAUAGCCCGGCGAAAGCCGGAUUAAUACCGCAUACGAUCUACGGAUGAAAGCGGGGGACCUUCGGGCCUCGCGCUAUAGGGUUGGCCGAUGGCUGAUUAGCUAGUUGGUGGGGUAAAGGCCUACCAAGGCGACGAUCAGUAGCUGGUCUGAGAGGACGACCAGCCACACUGGGACUGAGACACGGCCCAGACUCCUACGGGAGGCAGCAGUGGGGAAUUUUGGACAAGGGGCGAAAGCCUGAUCCAGCAAUGCCGCGUGUGUGAAGAAGGCCUUCGGGUUGUAAAGCACUUUUGUCCGGAAAGAAAUCCUUGGCCCUAAUACGGUCGGGGGAUGACGGUACCGGAAGAAUAAGCACCGGCUAACUACGUG